rnacentral:lncRNA from 1 species
AAAAAAGAAAAAAAAAAAAAAGCAGCCUGCCUGGCAUUAGAUUAAUAACAUUCUUUGUGAAUCCCACAGAUGCAACCAGCAAUUGGGAAGAACCCAGCACUCCUGUAUAUGGAUCACAGGAAUAUCUUCCACUGAUUUACACAAAAUAGAAAUGAAACCCCUGCUACUUCAGCAGCAGCCUAGGAGCCCAGGAUGAAACGGCGAUUCCUCCACAGAAUUUUUGCUUCAGUGCCAAACCUGCUGUUUCACAGGAGCUGAAAGUCCUCUCAAAUAAGAUUCAUCCCAGUUUUGUUCCUCUCUGAACGUCAGCGUGUUCUCAGAAUCACAGUCACAGAAUGUCCUAAGCUAGAAGGAACCCCCAAGGAUCAUCCAAGUCCAGUUCCUUCUCCUGUCCCUUUCAUUUAUCCCACUUA